rnacentral:rRNA from 1 species
GCAGUGGGGAAUAUUGGACAAUGGGGGCAACCCUGAUCCAGCCAUGCCGCGUGUGUGAAGAAGGCCUUUUGGUUGUAAAGCACUUUAAGCAGGGAGGAGAGGCUAAUGGUUAAUACCCAUUAGAUUAGACGUUACCUGCAGAAUAAGCACCGGCUAACUCUGUGCCAGCAGCCGCGGUAAUACAGAGGGUGCGAGCGUUAAUCGGAAUUACUGGGCGUAAAGCGAGUGUAGGUGGCUCAUUAAGUCACAUGUGAAAUCCCCGGGCUUAACCUGGGAACUGCAUGUGAUACUGGUGGUGCUAGAAUAUGUGAGAGGGAAGUAGAAUUCCAGGUGUAGCGGUGAAAUGCGUAGAGAUCUGGAGGAAUACCGAUGGCGAAGGCAGCUUCCUGGCAUAAUAUUGACACUGAGAUUCGAAAGCGUGGGUAGCAAACAGGAUUAGAUACCCUGGUAGUCCACGCCGUAAACGAUGUCUACUAGCCGUUGGGGUCCUUGAGACUUUAGUGGCGCAG